CUUCAGCGAACCGAGGUAGACGGGCCGGCCGGCCUCCCGGUGCUGACCGUAGGUGGCGAUGAUGGCCUGGGCCUC
rnacentral:antisense_RNA from 1 species